UCUAACAGAUCACUGUGACAGCUAUGGCUAUGGCUACUUUGACUACUGGGGGAAAGGAACACAAGUCUCAGUAACUUCUGCUACAACCAAACCCACCACAAUUCCAGUUACGCCUAUAAAAAAAACAACUCCACCAAAAACCCCCAAAACUACAGUUACAGAGCCAACGAUGAGACUUCACUUGCUCUCAGAACAGCAGAUUCUCAGCCUUACAGACGAAGUCACUCUGGUGUGUCUGGUGACCAGUAGUGUGAAAAAGGAGUUCAAAUUUGAAUGGUCAGAAAUACAUGGAAAGGUGCUUGAAUCGUCCCCUAAAGGUGUCAACUUCCCAGCACUGCAGACCAAAAAUGACAAAAAAUGGCGAUCUAUGAGUCUUUACACCAUGACUAAGAAAGACUGGGAAAGUAAUCCGAAGAUACUGUUCAUUUGCAAAGUCCCAUCUGAAAAUCUUACAAAACAAACAUCUCCGGACGAGGAUAAUGUUUGUGAUCUGAGAGGCACAGAUGACAUCAGUGAAGAGGAUUUUAGCAGCCUGUGGUCCACAGCCUCCUCCUUCAUAUUCCUCUUCAUGUUCUCUCUCUUCUAUAGCAUAAUAAUCAGCCUGGUUAAGAUGAAGAAACCAUAAAGAACGGGAUGAAUCAGGGCAUCAUUUCCAAUCUGUUUUUAAAAUCUAUUUCUCAG